rnacentral:rRNA from 1 species
AACCCUACGCCGACUGACUCGGGGAUAGCCUUUCGAAAGAAAGAUUAAUACCCGAUGGCAUAGUUCUUCCGCAUGGUAGAACUAUUAAAGAAUUUCGGUCAUCGAUGGGGAUGCGUUCCAUUAGAUAGUAGGCGGGGUAACGGCCCACCUAGUCUUCGAUGGAUAGGGGUUCUGAGAGGAAGGUCCCCCACAUUGGAACUGAGACACGGUCCAAACUCCUACGGGAGGCAGCAUG